rnacentral:misc_RNA from 1 species
UCGUAACAAGGUAGCCGUACCGGAAGGUGUGGCUGGAUCACCUCCUUUUUAGGGAGACCUACCCAAAUCAGAAAUCGAAAGCGAAAAGCAAAUAGAGAAUGAGAUGGUCUACUCUAGGUCGGUCGCAGAAGUUGAAAAGGCUUUCAAACUAAUAAUUAGGUUCAUAUGGGCUAUUAGCUCAGGUGGUUAGAGCGCACCCCUGAUAAGGGUGAGGUCCCUGGUUCGAGUCCAGGAUGGCCCACCUGAAAACAGUGAACAGUAAACAGUAAAAAGUGGUCAGAAAAAACUGAUAACUGGUAACUGAUAACUAAUAACUGGAUUUUGGGGGUUUAGCUCAGUUGGUAGAGCGCCUGCUUUGCAAGCAGGAUGUCAGCGGUUCGAGUCCGCUAACCUCCACAUGAAAAAGAAAAAAAGGAAAAGCCAGCAACUAGCGAAAGUUAGACUGCUGGGUAAAUCCAGCCAGAACCUUGAAAACUGCAUAGAAACGCGAUAAUAGCAGGCAGACACAGACAUGAAAAUGAAAGUGAAUGCAGGUGAAACACCAAUGAAU